UACAGAGGUCUCAAGCGUUGUUCGGAUUUAUUGGGCGUAAAGAGCGUGUAGGCGGCCAGGUAGGUCUGCUGUGAAAACUCGAGGCUCAACCUCGAGACGUCGGCGGAAACCAUCUGGCUAGAGUCCGGAAGAGGAGAGUGGAAUUCCUGGUGUAGCGGUGAAAUGCGCAGAUAUCGGGAGGAACACCGGUGGCGAAGGCGGUUCUCUGGGCCUGACCUGACGCUGAGGAGCGAAAGCGUGGGGAGCGAACAGG
rnacentral:rRNA from 1 species